rnacentral:rRNA from 1 species
UUUGCCUGCUAUCUCUUACCCAUGUCUUUUGAGUACCUUACGUUUCCUCGGUGGGUUCGCCCACCGAUUGGACAAAUUUAAACCCUUUGCAGUUGAAAUCAGCGUCUGAAAAAACUUAAUAGUUACAACUUUCAACAACGGAUCUCUUGGUUCUGGCAUCGAUGAAGAACGCAGCGAAAUGCGAUAAGUAGUGUGAAUUGCAGAAUUCAGUGAAUCAUCGAAUCUUUGAACGCACAUUGCGCCCCUUGGUAUUCCAUGGGGCAUGCCUGUUCGAGCGUCAUUUGUACCUUCAAGCUCUGCUUGGUGUUGGGUGUUUGUCUCCUGUAGACUCGCCUUAAAACAAUUGGCAGCCGGCGUAUUGAUUUCGGAGCGCAGUACAUCUCGCGCUUUGCACUCAUAACGACGACAUCCAAAAGUACAUUUUUACACUCUUGACCUCGGAUCAGGUAGGGUAUACCCGCUGAACUUAAGCAUAUCA